rnacentral:rRNA from 1 species
CCUACGGGUGGCAGCAGUGGGGAAUAUUGCGCAAUGGGCGAAAGCCUGACGCAGCGACGCCGCGUGAGGGAUGAAGGUCUUCGGAUCGUAAACCUCUGUCAGCAGGGAGGAACGGUCACUGUGCUAAUCAGCAGUGAAUUGACGGUACAUGAAAAGGAAGCACCGUCUUACUCCGUGCCAGCAGCCACGGUAAUACGGGGGGUGCGGGCGUUAGUCGGAAUUACUGGGCGUAAAGCGCUCGUAGGCGGUAUGUCAAGUCAAGGGUGAAAUCCCCGCGCUCCAGGUGGGAACUGCCUUUGAAACUGGCAAACUGGUGGGUGUGAGAGGAUAGUGGAAUUCCAGGUGUAGGAGUGAAAUCCGUAGAUAUCUGGAGGAACAUCAGUGGCGAAGGCGACUAUCUGGCACAUAACUGACGCUGAGGAGCGAAAGCGUGGGUAGCAAACAGGAUUAGAUACCCCUGUAGUC